AACCUCUCGGGGUUACAGCCUUGCUGAAUUAUUCACCCUUGUCUUUUGCGUACUUCUUGUUUCCUUGGUGGGUUCGCCCACCACUAGGACAAACAUAAACCUUUUGUAAUUGCAAUCAGCGUCAGUAACAAAUUAAUAAUUACAACUUUCAACAACGGAUCUCUUGGUUCUGGCAUCGAUGAAGAACGCAGCGAAAUGCGAUAAGUAGUGUGAAUUGCAGAAUUCAGUGAAUCAUCGAAUCUUUGAACGCACAUUGCGCCCUUUGGUAUUCCAAAGGGCAUGCCUGUUCGAGCGUCAUUUGUACCCUCAAGCUUUGCUUGGUGUUGGGCGUCUUGUCUCUAGCUUUGCUGGAGACUCGCCUUAAAGUAAUUGGCAGCCGGCCUACUGGUUUCGGAGCGCAGCACAAGUCGCACUCUCUAUCAGCAAAGGUCUAGCAUCCAUUAAGCCUUUUUUUCAACUUUUGACCUCGGAUCAGGUAGGGAUACCCGCUGAACUUAAGCAUAUCAAUAAGCAUCUUGCUGAAAAACUCGAGCCAUCCGGAAGAUCUGGCGGCCGCUCUCCCUAUAGUGAGUCGUAUUACGCCGGAUGGAUAUGGUGUUCAGGCACAAGUGUUAAAGCAGUUGAUUUUA
rnacentral:rRNA from 1 species